rnacentral:rRNA from 1 species
CGAGACCGGCUUGCGUAAAGCAAGUAAGUGGUGAAGAUCUAGCUUCCAAGAAAAGCCCUAAACACGAUAAUUAUUGGAUGGCCUGUACCCGAAACCGACACAGGUAGGGAAGUAGAGAAUACUAAGGGGCGCGAGAUAACUCUCUCUAAGGAACUCGGCAAAAUAACCCCGUAACUUCGGAAGAAGGGGUACCUGCAGCAAUGCAGGUCGCAGUGAAGAGGCCCAGGCGACUGUUUAACAAAAACAUAGGUCUCCGCAAAGUCGAAAGACGCAGUAUGGGGGCUGACGCCUGCCCAGUGCCGGAAGGUUAAGGAAGUUGGUCAGCAUUAGUGUGAAGCUAGCGACUGAAGCCCCGGUGAACGGCGGCCGUAACUAUAACGGUCCUAAGGUAGCGAAAUUCCUUGUCGGGUAAGUUCCGACCCGCACGAAAGGCGUAACGAUCUGGGCACUGUCUCGGAGAGAGACUCGGCGAAAUAGGAAUGUCUGUGAAGAUACGGACUACCUGCACCUGGACAGAAAGACCCUAUGAAGCUUUACUGUAGCCUGGAAUGGUGUUCGGGCUUCGCUUGCGCAGGAUAGGUGGGAGACGUUGAAGAUGUGCUCGUGGGUGCAUCGGAGUCAACGGUGAGAUACCACUCUGGCGAAGCUAGAAUUCUAACCUUAACCCGUAAACCGGGGAAGGGACAGUUUCAGGUGGGCAGUUUGACUGGGGCGGUCGCCUCCAAAAAGGUAACGGAGGCGUACAAAGGUUCCCUCAGGCUGGUUGGAAAUCAGCCGCAGAGUGCAAAGGCAGAAGGGAGCUUGACUGCGAGACAGACAAGUCAAGCAGGGUGGAAACACGGUCUUAGUGAUCCGACGGCGCUGCGUGGAAGGGCCGUCGCUCAACGGAUAAAAGUUACUCUAGGAUAACAGGCUGAUCUCCCCCAAGAGUUCACAUCGACGGGGGGGUUUGGCACCUCGAUGUCGGCUCAUCGCAACCUGGGGCGGAAGUACGUCCCAAGGGUUGGGCUGUUCGCCCAUUAAAGCGGUACGUGAGCUGGGUUCAGAACGUCGUGAGACAGUUCGGUCCAUAUCCGGUGUAGGCGUAAGAGUAUUGAGAGGAGCCUUCCUUAGUACGAGAGGACCGGGAAGGACGCACCGCUGGUGUACCAGUUAUCGUGCCAACGGUAAACGCUGGGUAGCCAAGUGCGGAGAGGAUAACCGCUGAAAGCAUCUAAGUGGGAAGCCCACCUCAAGAUGAGUACUCUCAGAGAGUAAAUCUCGUAAGGUCACGGGAAGACUACCCGUAAAUAGGCGCUAGGUGGAAGAGCAGCAAUGUUUGCAGCCAAGGCGUACUAACAGACCGAGGGCUUGACCCU